rnacentral:rRNA from 1 species
UGGGGAAUAUUGGACAAUGGGCGCAAGCCUGAUCCAGCCAUGCCGCGUGGAUGAUGAAGGCCUUAGGGUUGUAAAGUCCUUUUAACGGGGAAGAUAAUGACGGUACCCGUAGAAUAAGCCCCGGCUAACUUCGUGCCAGCAGCCGCGGUAAUACGAAGGGGGCUAGCGUUGCUCGGAAUCACUGGGCGUAAAGCGCACGUAGGCGGAUCUUUAAGUCAGGGGUGAAAUCCUGGAGCUCAACUCCAGAACUGCCUUUGAUACUGAGGGUCUCGAGUCCGGGAGAGGUGAGUGGAACUGCGAGUGUAGAGGUGAAAUUCGUAGAUAUUCGCAAGAACACCAGUGGCGAAGGCGGCUCACUGGCCCGGUACUGACGCUGAGGUGCGAAAGCGUGGGGAGCAAACAG